CAUGAGGUAUCAAUAUAAACUCCCCAGUUUAAAACAAAAAUAGGUGGAUGCCAAUAGUGGUCUUUAUCUCAACACUAGAAGAAAGGUCCUCAACUGGAAAAAAAUUUACAUUUUUGUAAGAAAAAAACAAUCCUUAUGUUUCUUUAUAAAUCUCACUACAUCUUCAAUAUGGUUUGGCUGUGCCCCCACCCAAAUCUCAACUUGAAUUGUAUCUCCCAGAAUUCCCAUGUGUUGUGAGGGGGACCCAAUGAAGGGUAAUUGAAUCAUGGGGCCGGUCUUUCCCAUGUUAUCCUCAUGAUAGUGGAUAAGUCUCAUGAGAUCUAGUGGAUUUAUCAGGGGUUUCUACUUUUGCUUCCUCCUCAUUCUCUCUUGCCAUGACCAUGUAAGAAGUGCCUUUCACCCUCUGCCUUCAUUGUGAGACCUUUCCCAGCCAUGUGGAACUAUAAAUCCAAUUCAUCCUCUUUCUUUUGUAAAUUGCCCAGUCUCAGGUAUGUCUUUAUCAGCAGUGUGAAAAUGGACUAAUACAGUAAAUUGGUAUGAGAAGUGGGGUGUUGCUGAAAAGAUAAUUGAAAAUGUGGAUGCAGCUUUGGAACUGGGUAAUAGGCAGAGGUUGAAACAGUUUGUAGGGCUCAGAAGAAGACAGGAAAAUGUGGGAAAGUUUGGAACUUCCUAGAGACUUGUUGAAUAUCUUUGCCCAAAAUGGUGAUAAUGAUAUGGACAAUAAAGUCCAGGAUGAAGUGGUCUCAGAUGGAAAUGAGGAACUUGCUGGGAACUAGAGCAAAGGUGACUCUUGUCAUGCUUUAGCAAAGAAAAUGGUGGCAUUUUGCCUCUGCCUUAGAGAUUUGUAGAACUUUGAACUUGUGAGAGAUGACUAAGGGUAUCCGGCAGAAGAAAUUUCUAAGCAGCAAAGCAUUCAAGAGGUGACUUGGGUGCUGUUAAAGGCAUUCCAUUUUACAAGGGAAGCAGAGGAUAAAAGUUUGGAAAAUUUGCAGCCUGACAAUGUGAUAGAAAAGAAAAUCCCAUUUUCUGAAAAGAAAUUUAAGCUGGCUGUAGAACUUUGCAUAAGUAACAAGGAGCUGAAUGUUAAUUUCCAAGACAAUGGGGAAAAUGUCCCUGGGGCAUGUCAGUGGUCUUCGUGGCAGCCCUUCUCAUCACAGGCCUAGAGGUUUAAGAGGAAGAAAUGGUUUCAUCGUCCGGGCCCAGGGUCCCUGUGCUGUGUGCAGCCUAGGGACUUGGUGUCCCGUGUCCUAGCCACUCCAGCUAUGACUAAAAGGGGCCAAGGUACAGCUCAGACCCUGGCUUCAGAGGGUGCAAACCCCAAGCCUUGGCAGGGUCCAUAUGGUGUUGAGCCUGUGGGUGCACAGAAGUCAAGAACUGAUGUUUGGGAACCUCAGACUAGAUUUCAGAACAUGUAUGAAAACACCUGGAUGCCCAGGCAAAAGUUUCCUGAAGGGACUGGGCCCUCAUGCAGAACCUCUGCUAGAGCAGUGCUGAAGGGAAAUGUGGGGUGAGAGACCCCACACAGAGUCCCUACUGGGGCACUGCCUAGUGGAACUGUGAGAAGAGGGCCACCAUCCUCCAGAUCCCAGAAUGGUAGAUUCACCAACAGCUUGCACUGUGUGCCUGGAAAAGCCUCAGACACUCAAUGCCAGCCUAUGAAAGCCACAGGUAGGGUGGCCGUACCUUGCAAAGCCACAGGGAUGGAGCUGCCCAAGACCAUGGGAACCCACCUCUUGCAUCAGUGUGACAUGGAGCCAAAGGAGGUCAUUUUGGAACUUUAAGAUUUGACUGCCCUGCUGGAUUUUGGACUUGCAUGGGGCCUGUAGCCCCUUUCUUUUGGCUAAUUUUUUUUUUUUCAUUUGGAACAGCUGUAUUUACCCAAUGUCUGUACCUCCAUUGUAUCUAGGAAGUAACUAACUUGCCUUUGAUUUUACAGGCUCAUAGCCUGAAGGGACAUGUCUUUUCUCAGAUGAGAUGUUGGACUCUGGACUUUUAAGUUAAUGCUGAAAUGAGUUAAGACUUUGGGGGACUGUUGGAAAGGCAUGAUUGGUUUUGAAAUGAGAGGACAUGAGAUUUGGGAGGGGCCAGGGUGGAAUUAUAUGGUUUGGCUGUGCCUCCACCCAAAUCUCAACUUGAAUUAUAUCUCCCAGAAGUCCCACAGGUUGUGGGAGGGACACAGUGGGAGGUAAUUGAAUCAUGGGGGCUAGUCUUUCCCAUGCUAUUCUCAUGAUAGUGAAUAAGUCUCAUGAGAUGUGAUGGGUCUAUGAGCGGUUUCUGCUUUUGCUUCUUCCUCAUUCUCUCUUGCCACCACCAUAUAAUAAGUGUCUUUAACCCUCUGCCAUGAUUGUGAUAACUUCCCCAGCCAUGUGGAACUGUAAGUCCAAUUAAUCUGUUUUCUUUUGUAAAUAGCCCAGUCUUGGGUAUGUCUUUAUCAGCAGUGUGAAAACAAACUAAUACAAUCUUACUGCCUGACUAGCCUAACUCUUAGUAACCUUAAUUCCUAGUAAAAAACCUAAUAUUGUUUAACAUAAAAUGUGUGAAAGAAAAAUAAAUAUUGGGUCCCCCAAAUUACUAAACUAAAGAGGAAAGUCGAGUUGGGAACUGCUUAGGGCUAACCUGCCUCCCAUUCCAUUCAAGGUCAACCCUCUGCUCACUGAGAUAAAUGCAUAUCUGACUGCCUCCUGAUAUGGUUUGGCUAUGUCCCUACCCAAAUCUCAUUUUGAAUUGUAGCUCUCAUAAUUCCCACAUGUUGUAGGAGGAAUGCAGUGGGAGAUAAUUGUAUCAUGGGGGUGGUUUCCCCCAUAUUUUUCUUGUGGUAAUGAAUAAGUCUCCUGAGAGCUGAUGUUUGUAUAACAGGAAACCCUUUUCACUUGGUUCUCAUUUUCUCCUUUGUCUGCUACCAUGUAAGACAUGUCUUUGGCCUUUUGCCAUGAUUGUGAGGCCUCUCCAGCCACGUGGAACUGUGAGCCCAUUAAAACUCUUUUUAUUUAUAAAUUACCCAGUCUCGGAUAUGUCUGUAUCAGUAGUGUGAGAACGAACUAAUACACCUCCUUUGGAGAGGCUAAUCAGAAUCUCAAAAGAAUGCAACUAUUUGUCUCUUAUCUAACUAUGACCUGUAAGUCCCCACUCCACUUCGAAUCAUCCCACAUUUGCUUUGAGUUGUCCCACCUUUCUGGACCCAACAAAUGUUCAUCUUACAUAUGUUGAUUGAUAUCUCAUGUCUCUCUAAAAUGUGUAAAACCAAGCUGUGCUCUGAUCACCUUGGGCAGAUGUCAUCAGGACCUCCUGAGAUUGUGUCAGGGGUGCGCAUCCUCAACCUUGGCAAAUAAACUUUCUAAAUUAACUGAGACCUGUCUCAGAUAUUCAGGGGUCAUACAUGACUUUAAGAUUUCAAAUUAUUGGAGAAAAUUUUGAGACUAAAGUUACUAAAUUAAUCUUACCAAUGAUUACUACAGUCAUGUGAACUGAAGUCUGUGAGCUAGCUUCUAUUAAUUUGAUAAACACUUUUCUUUUAGCCAGUUAAUUAGAGUUCUCUCAUAUGAUUAAUAGAUGAACAUCAUUUCCACAACACACAUAUAACAUAUUGACAUAGAAGACCCAGACAGAGGCAGAUCUUAUAGAUUUAAAAUAUUUCGUUUGCCUAUUUUCAAACAUGUUCUAGCUCCUGCUACAGACUAUUAAUCUCUUGAUUAUCUGUCCCAUGUCCUAAACAAUUGUUAACUAGGCAACUCUAAAUUUGCAUCUCCAAAGACAUGACUUAGGUUUAAAAAAAGGUAGAAAACGUACAUCUCAAAGGCAUAGACUUAGAUGUAAACAAAAGUAAGGUCUAUUAUGUAAACUUUAAAACAUUGUUUAUUCCCUAGUUAAAAUUUCUAGUGGUUUAGGUGCAGAGACACAGCUGCUUUACGAAAAAAAAAAAAAAAAAAAAAAGAUUUUAUUUAAAGAUGAAAAUUUUCCAUACAAAGAGAUUUAUUUAAAUGAUUUAGUUUUAUAGAUGGUCUUUUCAACUUAGCUUUACUAGAUUACUAACUUUAGGGUGAAGCCCUUUAAGAAACAGGGCCAACAAAGCAUGCAGGUUUUAGGGCUUGCAUAAUGACGUUUUUAUCUAAAUGUUCAAAUAAAUGAGUUGUUCCUCGUAGUGUAGCAGAACGAGCCACAGACAAAACCUCUCAGACACCGAGUUGUAGAAGGAAGGGCUUUAUUCAGCUGGGAGCAUCAGCAAGCUACUGCCUUAAAAUCCGAGCUCCCUGAGUGCACAAUUUAUGUCCCUUUUAAGGGCUCACAACACUAAAGAUUUCACAUGAAAGGGUCGUGAUUGAUUUGAGCAAGCAAGGGGUAGUGACAGGGGCUGCAUGUACUGGUGGUCAGAGUGAAACAGAGCAGAGCAGGGAGUUUCACAAUGUUCUUCCACACAAUGCCUGAAAUCUAUGGGUAACAUUGGGUUCUAAGUCAUGAGUUGAUUUUUAACUACUAUGUUUAGGCGAGGCAGGCCCAGGCCUGGUUUUGGGCCUGGCACUGGGCUGACUGUCUUUGAUUUCACUUCCUUGUUUUUUUUUUUCUUAAAACAGAUACUGAGUAUAAAACAAUAUAAAACAAUAUGAGAGAGUCUCUCUCUUCCCUCAGUAGUAAUGGCCAUUUUCUAUAAAUUUUGCUCAGCCAUCCCUAACAUUGUCAUUCUCAUCUGCCACUACACACACCAAGGUCAAAUUUUGUAACAGUACAAAAUAAUCUCUAGUACCCACCAAAGCCAAAGAGAUCAGGUAAUGCAAUAUAAGAAAGCAGAACUUUAGACCUGAAAGAAAUCUGCCAUGACACUUGAAACUCCACAAAGAAAGCAGAAUACUCUCUCUUUGUUAAGGGGUCUGAUUCAUUAGAAGCCUGUCAGGCCUCUGAGCCCAAGCCAAGCCAUCACAUCCCCUGUGUCUUGCACCUAUACGCCCAGAUGGCCUGAAGUAACUGAAGAAUCACAAAAGAAGUGAAUAUGCCCUGCCCCACCUUAACUGAUGACAUUCCACCACAAAAGAAGUGUAAAUGGCCGGUCCUUGCCUUAAGUGAUGACAUUACCUUGUGAAAGUCCUUUUCCUGGCUCAUCCUGGCUCAAAAAGCACCCCCACUGAGCACCUUGCGACCCCGACUCCUGCCCGCCAGAGAACAAACCCCCUUUGACUGUAAUUUUCCGUUACCUACCCAAAUCCUAUAAAACAGCCCCACCCUUAUCUCCCUUCACUGACUCUCUUUUCGGACUCAGCCCGCCUGCACCCAGGUGAAAUAAACAGCCUUGUUGCUCACACAAAGCCUGUUUGGUGGUCUCUUCACACGGACGCGCAUGAAAUUUGGUCCCAGUCAGGCCUCUGAGCCCAAGCCAAGCCAUCGCAUGCCCUGUGACUUGCACAUGUAUGCCCAGAUGGCCUGAAGUAACUGAAGAAUCACAAAAGAAGUGAAUGUGCCCUGCCCCGCCUUAACUGAUGACAUUCCACCACAAAAGAAGUGAAAAAGGCCGGUCCUUGCCUUAAGUGAUGACAUUACCUUGUGAAAGUCCUUUUCCUGGCUCAUCCUGGCUCAAAAAGCACCCCCACUGAGCACCUUGCGACCCCCACUCCUGCCUGCCAGAGAACAAACCCCCUUUGACUGUAAUUUUCCUUUACCUACCCAAAUCCUAUAAAACAGCCCCACCCUUAUCUCCCUUCACUGACUCUCUUUUCGGACUCAGCCCGCCUGCACCCAGGUGAAAUAAACAGCCUUGUUGCUCACACAAAGCCUGUUUGGUGGUCUCUUCACACGGACAUGCAUUAAAUUUGGUGCCGUGACUCAGAUCAGGGGACCUCCCUUGGGAAAUCAAUCCCCUGUCCUCCUGCUCUUUGCUCCGUGAGAAAGAUCCACCUACGACCUCAGGUCCUCAGACCAACCAGCCCAAGAAACAUCUCACCAAUUUCAAAUCCAGUAAGCCGCCUCUUUUUACUCUCUUCUCCAACCUCCCUCACUAUCCCUCAGCCUCUUUCUCCUUUCAAUCUUGGUGCCACACUUCAAUCUCUCCCUUCUUUUAAUUUCAAUUCCUUUCAUUUUCUGGUAGAGACAAAGGAGACAUGUUUUAUCCCUGGACCCAAAACUCUGGCGCCGGUCACGGACUAGGGAAGGCAGCUUUCCCUUGGUGUUUAAUCAUUUCAGGGACACCUCUCUGAUUAUUUACCCAGGUUUCAGAGGUGUCAGACCACGCAGGGAUGCCUGCCUUGGUCCUUCACCCUUAGUGGCAAGUCCUGCUUUUCUGGGGAAGGGGCAAGUACCCCAACCCCUUCUCUCCGUGUCUCUACCCCUUCUCUGCCUUUCUGGGGGGCAAGAAACCCCCAACCCUUUCUCCUUCACCCUGAGUGGCAAGUCCCACUUUUCUAGAGGAGGGGAAAGUACCCCAACCUCAUAUCUCUGCACCUCAAUCCCUUAUUUCCACACCCCAACCUAUUAUCUCUGUGCCCCAAUCCCUUAUUUCCAUGCCCCAACCUCUUAUCUCUGCACCACAAUCCCUUAUUUCCAUGCCCCGACAUCUUAUGUCUCCACGCCCUGACCUCGUAUCUCUGCACCCCGACCCCUUUCCUGCUUUUCUGGAGGGUAAGAACCCCUGAACCGCUUCCCUCCGUGUCUCUACUCUCCCUUUUCUUUAAACUUGCCUCCUUCACUAUAGGCAACCUUCCACCCUCCAUUCCUCCUUCUUCUCUCUUAGCCUGUGUUCUCAAAAACUUAAAACCUCUUCAACUCACACCUGACCUAAAACCUAAAUGCCUUAUUUUCUUCUGCAAUGCCGCUUGACCCCAAUACAAACUCAACAGUAGUUCCAAAUAGCCGGAAAACAGCACUUUCAAUUUUUCCAUCCUGCAAGAUCUAAAUAAUUCUUGUCGUAAAAUGGGCAAACGGUCUGAGGUGCCUGACGUCCAGGCAUUCUUUUACACAUCGGUCCCUCCCCAGUCUCUGUGCCCAAUGCAACUCAUCCCAAAUCUUCCUUCUUUCCCUCCCACCUGUCCCCUCAGUCCCAACCCCAAGCAUCACUGAGUCUUUCUAAUCUUCCUUUUCUACAGACCCAUCUGACCUCUCCCCUCCUCCCCAGGCUGCUCCUCACCAGGCCGAGCUAGGUCCCAAGUCUUCCUCAGCCUCCGCUCCUCCACCCUAUAAUCCUUUUAUCACCUCCUCUCCUCACACCCAGUCCGGUCCGGCUUACAGUUUCAUUCCGUGACUAGCCCUCCCCCACCUGCCAGCAAUUUACUCUUAAAAAGGUGGCUGGAGCUAAAGGCAUAGUCAAGGUUAUUGCUCCUUUUUCUUUAUCCCAAAUCAGAUAGCGUUUAGGCUCUUUAUCAAUAUAAAAAUCCAGCCCAGUUCAUAACUUGUUUGGCAGCAACCCUGAGACACUUUACAGCCCUAGACCCUAAAAGGUCAAAAGGCCGUCUUAUUCUCAAAAUACAUUUUAUUACCCAAUCUGCUCCUGACAUUAAAUAAAACUCCAAAAAUUAAAUUCCAGCCCUCAAACCCCACAACAGGAUUUAAUUAACCUCGCCUUCAAGGUGUACAAUAAUAGAAAAAAGUUGCAAUUCCUUGCCUCCACUGUGAGACAAACCCCAACCACAUCUCUAGCACACAAGAACUUCCAAAUGCCUGAACCGCAGCGGCCAGGCGUUCCUCCAGUACCGCCUCCCCCAGGAGCUUGCUACAAGUGCCAGAAAUCUGGCCACCAGGCCAAGGAAUGCCUGCAGCCCAGGAUUCCUCCUAAGCCGCGUCCCAUCUGUGCGAGACCCCACUGGAAAUCGGACUGUCCAACUCACCUGGCAGCCACUCCCAGAGCCCCUGGAACUCUGGCCCAAGGCUCUCUGACUCCUUCCCAGAUCUUCUUGGCUUAGCGGCUGAAGACUGACGCUGCCCAGUCGCCUCGGAAGCCCCCCUACAUCAUGGACGCUGAGCUUCAGAUAACUCUCACAGUGGAAGUUUGGUCCAGAGAGCUGCCUUAGACUCCCCAGUAAAUCUAUUCAAACAGCUGCCUCUGUUACCUUGACUCGUCUCAGAUGUCAUCGACCUGAGAUGGCUCCUGGCGCAAGGAAGACAUUAAGGGAAAUUUUCAAGACAAAAUUCCAAUUCAGCUACUUACCUAAGAAUGAAGCCCUGGCUGAAGACUGCUCUAUACAAUCUUAGAAGCAGGAAAAAUUCAAACUCUCCAUUCCUGUUGGAAGUGAGCUGAAACUUCAAAAAAGAGUUGCCAUCCAUCAUCAUAGAAGCAGGAAAAUUCAUCUUCCUUGUUGAAAAUAAGUGAAACUCCAGAAAAUGUGUUAUAUAGCAAAAUAAGCCUUAUAUAUCAACAAAAAUUUGGAAGAUCAGGAAUUCUCUGGAGGAGAGAGCUCCUAAAUUUCAGCAAAUAGUCCUAUUGGUUUGAGAAAUAAAGAUAUUCCAAGCUAGUACCAAGCACCAAUAGAUUUGUCAAAGGUCAAGGCAACCUCCAUUCAGUCUCUUCUAUUGGUUGCCAAUUUGUAAACCAGAAAGUAUAUGAGAUGGGUCUCAAUCAAUUUGAAAAUUUAUUUUGCCAGGGUUAGGGACAUGCCCAGAAUAAGAAACAUGUAAUCACAGAAACAAUCUUUGGUCUGUGCCUUUCUCCAAAGAUGAAUUUGAGAGCUUCAAUAUUUAGGAGAAAAAAGUAAGCUGGAGGAGAAAGAAGAAGAGUAUGGUAAUCCACAUGAUGAAAGGGAAAAGAAACAGGUAGAGGAAUAGUAAAUUAUGUAUAUCUCAAACUCAGUAAAUCAGCACUUUACGUAAGAUACAGUGAACACAGAGUAGCAACCUGUGGAGACAUUUAACCUUUUAUCUGUAGGUAUCUGCUUAGGAACAAAAUGAAGGCAGUUAAUUGGAUGACUCAGCUUUCAGUGUAUUUUUUUUUUCUAACUUUGGCAUAGUUAAUUGGGGUCCUGAGUUUUUAUUUUUUUGUCAGAGCAUAGAUUUCAGUCCAGAUCUAGAGGCCUGAAAACCAGAAGCCCUGAGGGUAUGGAAUUUCAGGUAGAGUCAGCAGUCAGGUAGAGUGCUAAUUCAACCUUCUUCCUUUUUGUACUAUUUAGUCCUUAAACAGAUUAAUGAUGGCCCUCUGCUUUGCUUAGUCCAGCAAUUCAAAUGUUAAUUUUACUCGGAAACACCUGCAGAGACAUUCCCAGCAAUAAUGUUUCAUGUGCUAUUCGGGCAUCCCAUCAGCCAGUCAAGCUGACACGUAAAAUUAGCCAUCAAAUCAGAUAUAUUGGACUAGAUCCUAGCCAUGUGACCUCACUUAAUCUUAAUUAUCUAUUUAAGGAGCCUAUUUCCACACACAAUCAUAUUUUAAAUGGGUACUGGGUAAUGAGACUUCAGCAUACGAAUUUUAGAAUGACACGAUUUACUCCAUAACAAUUGAAGAUUUUAACAUCGUUCUAGUAGUAAUUGACAGAUUUAUCAGGCAAAAAGAUUGCAAGGAUAUAGUUGAACUAAUAGCCUUAUCAAUCAAGUGGAUGCAUUUGACAUGUAUAGGAUUUUGUUAUCCAACAAUAGCAAAAAUACAUUUAUCUCAAGCCACACGGAACAUUCAGCAAGAGAGACCACAUUUUGGGUCAAAAAUCACCAGGUAUGCAAGAUAAUUCAACAUUUAAAAAGCAAUCAAAUUUAGUCAACUGAUCUUUGACAAAAAAGAAAAGGUAAUUCAGUGGAGAAAGCAUAGUCUCCAACAAUUGCUGCUGGAACAACAGAAUGUCCUUAUGCAAUAAAAUGAAUAUUUUAUUUUCACCUGAGUUUCAGGUGAUUACUUACACCUGAGUUUCAGGGACAAAAUAAACCUUAGAUAUCAACAAAACAUUCAGGGACGAGAAACUCAGGUGUAAGUACUGUCUAGAGCCAGGGAGUGUCGCUCCCAGCAAAAGAGCCCAAAAUAUCAAGUAAAUUAACCCAUACUUUGUGCAGAUCAUUGGAGAGAAAACAAAGAGUUUAUAGAAAGGUGACGCAGACGCUGAGGCUGAAGAGAAAGGAGGCUUGGAACCCUGCAUGGGUUUACCAAAUGCUAGGGCUAGUUCCAGGCUUUGAAUGGCUGCAAUUCAAAAAGCCAGAGUGUCUUCCCACUUUCAAAUCAGUCGUUUAGUUUCCAGAGGUAUGGAGGAUGGAGCUGAUUGAAAUUACUUAAAUAAAAGACAUAGAAUUUAGAAGCUGGAGUGCAAGGAAGCUUAUCAAGAUUCAGGAGAAAGUUAAAAGCCAGUCCAGGAAAUCCAAGGAAGUGAAUAAAAUGACACAGGAUCUAAAAGGAAAAAAAUAGCCAUAUUAGAAAAGAACCAAAGUGAACUUCUAGAACUAAAAAAAUCACUACAAAAAUUUUGUAAUACAAUCAGAACUAUUAACAGCAGAAUAGACCAAGCUGAGGAAAGAAUCUCAGUGCUCACAGAUUGAUUAAUCAAAUAAACUCAGUCAGACAAAAAUGAAAAAUAAAUUCUAAUAAACAAAACUGAAGUGAAAUAUAGGAUUAAGUAAAGGACAAAAACUAUGUCUCAUUGGCAUUUCUGAGAAAAAAGAGAAAGUAAGGAACUUUGAAAAAAUACGUUUGAGGAUAUAGUCCAUGAAAAUAUCUUCAGUCUUGCUAAAGAGUUUGACAUACAAAGUCAACAAACACGGAAAACCCCUGCAAGAUAAUGUACAACCAAAUCACCCCCCAGGCAUAUAGUCAUCAGACUGAUAAAGGUCAAAGUGAGAGAAAAACUCUUAAAGGCAGCUACAUAGAAGGAUCAGGUCACAUAAAAAGACAACCCCAUCAGGCUAGCAGUGGAUAUCUCAGAAGAAAUCUUACAGGCCAGAAGAAAUUAAGGGCCUAUUUUCAGCAUCCCUAAAAACAGAAAUUCCAACCAAGAAUUUCGUAUCCUGAAAAAUAAAGCUUCAUGAGUGAAAGAGACCUAAAAUCCUUUUCAGGGAUGCAAAUGCUAAGGAAAUUAGACCAGCCUUACAAGAGGUCCUUAAGGGAGUGCUAAACAUGGAAACAAAAUAACAUCUGCUACCACAGAAACACACUUCAGCACAUAAUCUAAAGACACUAUAAACAACUACACAAUUAAGUCUACAAAACAACCAGCUAACAACACAAAGACAGGAUAAAAAUUUUACAUGUCAAUGCUAACUUUGAUUGUAGAUCAUCUAAAUGUCCCACAUAAAAGACACAGAGUGGCAAGUUGAAUAAAAUGACAAGCCUCAACCCUUUACUGCCUUCAAAAGGCCCAUCUCACAUGUAAUGACAUCCACAGUCUCAAAGUAAAACAGAUGGAGAAAAAUCUAUCAUGCAAAUGAAAAACAAGAGCAAGAGUUGCUAUUCUUAUAUCAGAAAAAAAUAGGCUUUGAACACAAAAUAAUUAAAAAAGGAGGAAAAGGGAAAUUACAUAAUGGUAAAGGGUUCAAUUCAUCAAGAAGAGUUAACUAUUCUAAAUGUAUAUUCACCCAAUAUUGGAGCACACAGAUUCAUUUUAAAAAAAGUUCUUUUUAACCUGUAAGAAUAUUUAGACAGAUGCACUAUAGUAGUGGGAAAUUUCAACACCCUACUGACAGUAUUAGACAGAGCUUGAGACAGAAAACUAACAAAGAUAUUCUAGAUUUAAUCUCGAUCCUUGACCAUUUAUACAUAAUAGACAUCUAGAAUAUUCCAUCCAACAACCACAGAAAAAUAUUCUUCUCAUUAGCACAUGGAACUUAUAGUAAGAUUUAACGUAGGCUUGAUCAUAAAGCAAGUUUCAGUAAACUAAAAAAAUGUAAAUUAUACUAAGCACAAUCUUGGACUACAAUGUAAUAAAAAUAGAAAAAAAAUCAAGAUAUCUCAAAACUACACAAAUACAUAAAAUUUAAACAACUUUCUCCUGAAUAAACUGCUAAAUGAACGAUGAAAUUAAGGCAUGAAGAAAAAAAUUAAAAUUAAUGAAAAUAGUGGAAAAACUUACCAAAAUUUGUGGGUUGCAGCUAAAGCAAUAUUAACAGGAAAGUUUAUAGCACUGAAUGGCUUAAUCAGGAAGUUAGAAAAAUCUCAAAUUAGCAAUUUAACAUUGAGCAUACAGGCAUUGAGAAAAAAGAAAUAACAAACCCCAAAGCUAGCAGAAGAAAAUAAAUGUAAACCACAAAUAAAAUUCUAAGGCAUAUCUACCAUCUGAAUGGACCCCUCCUCUUAUCCAAGGGCAUUCCAGAGUCAACCUAAAAAUCAAGUUCAGGCCAUGAUGGAAGAGACGGAGUUGGACAUGCCUCAUUAUUCCCUACUGCCUUUUGGAACUCAGGAAAAGCUGAUCAGCAUUAACAUCAACACAGACCUUAGUCUGAUAAGAAGCAUUUAUAAUCUAUUGUCUCUGAAACUUGCUAUUUGGUGGCUUCGUCUGCAUCAUAAAACUAUCUCCAAAAACCCUCAUUUUAACCUAGACAUUCUUUUCUAUUGAUAUAACUCUUUCAACCAAUUGCCAAUCAGAAAAGUUUUAAAUCUGUUUAUGACCUGGAAGCCCCCACUUUGAAUUGUUCCACACUUCCAGAUCAAGCCAAUGUAAAUCUUAUAUGCAUUGAUUGAUGCAUUAUGUCUCCCUAAAAUGUACAAAAAGCUAGCUGUACCCUGACCCCAUUGGGCACAUGUCAUCAGGACCUCCUGAGGCUGUUUCACAGGCAUGUCUUUAACCUUGGUAAAAUAAACUUUCUAAAUUAAGAACAACCUCAAAUAUUUUAUAUAUAUAUAUUUAGAGGGAGUCUUGAUCUCUUGAUCGAUCACCCAGUCUUGAGGGCAGUGGCGUGAUCACGGCUCACUGCAACAUCUGCCUUCAGGCUCAAGUGAUCCUUCUGCCUCAGCCUCCCAAGUAGCUGGGACUAUAGGCACAUGCCACCAUGCCUGGCUAAUUUUUGCAUUUUUUUGUAGAGAUGGGGUCUCAGUAUGUUGCCCAGGCUGGUCUCAAACUCCUAAGCUCAAGCAAUUUACCUGCUUGACCUUCCAAAGUGCUGGGAUUACAGAUGUGAGCCAUCAUGCCUGACCUUUCUCAGAUAUUUUAGGUUCACAAAUUGGAAACCAUGAAGGGAUUCUGAGUGGAGGUGCCCCUGACUUUAGACAAAUCUCCUAUCGGUGCUUCGUAUUAGGUUUAGCUACUUUUUUGGCUCAAACCAAUAGGACAAUUUGCAGACACCUGGGUGCUCCCCCUCACUACUCCAGAGAAUCCCUGAUCUCCCAAAAUUUGGUUGAGAUAUAAAGUUUAUUUUGUUGCACACCUUCUUUUCAAGACAUAUAGGAAACAGAUUAUCUAAGAAUGACCCCUUCACACACCUAUUUUGUUUUACGGUGCCUCUCCUUGCAAGUGGUUGUGUAAAUGAAAGAACAUGUCACAUCUUCUAAUAUUCCAGUUUAGUUAAACAUUACGUCUGUUCUUGUGCACAUUUUAAACUAACAGGGAAAUCACAUCAAGGAAAAUUCAGAGCCUAAAAGUUGACCUGCAACUAUAAAGUUUCUAAGUUCUCUGUCAAUCUCUCUGUUUUCUUUUCUUCCUGCUUUUUACGUCUCCUGUUAAUUUUCUAUUAGAUAAAAUCCACUGUUUAC
rnacentral:lncRNA from 10 species